AGGAAGGAGUGCCACAUUUCCCCGUGACAUCAGGAAAAUGGGUUGUGUCUUCUUUCCACCAGCUGUCCUCUUCAGAGAUAGCCAGCCUGUAGCUCAAAGCAGCCUGCAAGUUCCCAGGACCACAGCCCCCACUCUUUCAAGACCAGCUUCCUCCCACAACAGAAAUCAAAUGGGCAAGGUGGAGUAGUGCUUAAGCAUGGGAGCCCUCGUGUCGAUUUUCCCCAGGCUCAAAUUGCAGCAUUUCUGCUUACUAGCUCGGUUCCAUUAGCAGGUCUUUUAAACUCCUCAAGCCUCAGUGUUCCCACCUGUAUAACGGGGAUGAUAUUGGAGCUUACUGCAUAAAAUACAAAUAGAAUUGCAAGUACUGUGGAGUAGUUAGUCAAUUUUGGUGAUGAUCAUAAUGAUGAUGCCAAUGAUGUCUGCUGGCAUGCCACGGCUUCGCAUUGAAGGGACUGAUAUGCUUCCCAAUCUUUAGUUCUAAUGGCCCCUGCUUGGGUCUGGUGACUGUCUCUGGGCCAUUUAAUGCUGGGCAUGUGAGAGGGUACUCUGACUGGCUCACUCAGGAGCCAAUCAAGAGCAAGGGGGAGUGCAGGGAGGUGGGGUCAGGAAGAAGAUGGGAGGUCCUUCUAAAGCCACAUCAAGUAGGAGGAGGGCACUGUUGAGAAGAACGAGUUCUGUGUUUGCAACCAAGGUUGUAGGCGGCUGCUGUAAGAUCCUGUAACAGAUUCACCGUGAACUAACAAAGCCAACGUGGCAGGACCUCUCAGACCUGAACGGGCUUUUUACAAGGCCCUUGGUGCGGUGCUAACAAUGUUUCCACAGGGUCAUACGUUUUUGUGAAAGUACAGCAUUUUAACCACAAUGGGUUAAUCCCGCUGUCUCUUUCCAAUCUGACUUCUCAUCUGUCACACUCGCCUCUGUAGGAGGUGCCACCGGAGUGGCUGUGAACAUUUUUGGUAUCUGGCUAAAAGGAUGUUGAGUUAGGGACACCUUUAUUUUUAGUUUUGUGAAAUAAAUGUAUGUCAUUCACAGUUAUUUCCAUAUAUAGUUAUAUUCCAUAUAUAGCUCGCCCAGUGCAGGAAGAGCUUCCAGGAAAGUUGCCACUCAUUUAACUGACUUAACUGGCAUUAUGACCUAAGUGCAAGGCCGCUGAUGGAUUCCUGAUAUGAACGUGAUCGAUGGCACCAGCACCAGAAGUGGAUGGUUAAUGGAAGAGAAAUAAGGCUUGAAAUAUACAAGAAAGCAGCUUAUCUGCAAAAUGUCUGACUCUUUCAAGCUUUCAGAGUCUCAUAAUUGGAUGGCUGUUUCCUUUCUUUCUUUCUUUUUUACGUUUCUUUAUUUUGAGAGGAAGAGAAGCAUGGACAGGGGAAGGACAGAGAGAGAGAAGGAGAGAGAGAAUCCCAAGCGAGCUCCAAGCAUAGCCUGAUGUGAAGCUUGAACCCACAAACUGCAAGAUUUGAGCCAAACCAAGAGUCCGAUGCUCAACUGACUGAGCCACCCAGGUGCCCUACGGUUGGACAGUUUCAAGCACACAUGGUAAAAAUCCACAUUGCACUCGGGUGACAUGUCAGCCUGGCAAACAUUUUUGGAGGCUCAGAGGACACAAACAAGAUGCAAAUCUUUGUCCCAAAUGUGGGUGUAGAGUUGGUAUUUUCAAUUUGUAUUUCUCUGAUGAUCAAUAAAGUUUUCAUAUGACGAUUGG